GACGAACGCUGGCGGCGUGCUUAACACAUGCAAGUCGAACGGAAAGGCCCUGCUUUUGUGGGGUGCUCGAGUGGCGAACGGGUGAGUAACACGUGAGUAACCUGCCCUUGACUUUGGGAUAACUUCAGGAAACUGGGGCUAAUACCGGAUAGGAGCUCCUGCUGCAUGGUGGGGGUUGGAAAGUUUCGGCGGUUGGGGAUGGACUCGCGGCUUAUCAGCUUGUUGGUGGGGUAGUGGCUUACCAAGGCUUUGACGGGUAGCCGGCCUGAGAGGGUGACCGGCCACAUUGGGACUGAGAUACGGCCCAGACUCCUACGGGAGGCAGCAGUGGGGAAUAUUGCACAAUGGGCGGAAGCCUGAUGCAGCAACGCCGAGUGCGGGAUGACGGCCUUCGGGUUGUAAACCGAUUUCGCCUGUGACGAAGCGUGAGUGACGGUAAUGGGUAAAGAAGCACCGGCUAACUACGUG
rnacentral:rRNA from 1 species